rnacentral:rRNA from 1 species
AACGAACGCUGGCGGCAGGCUUAACACAUGCAAAUCGAAGGUGAAACUGGACUUCGGUCCAGUGGAAACUGGCGCACGGAUGAGUAACGCGUGGGAAUCUACCUAAUGGUUCAGAAUAACCGCGGGAAACUGCGGCUAAUACUGAAUAAGCCCUCCGGGGGAAAGAUUUAUCGCCAUUAGAUGAGCCCGCGUCGGAUUAGCUUGUUGGUGAGGUAACGGCUCACCAAGGCGACGAUCCAUAGCUGGUCUGAGAGGAUGAUCAGCCACACUGGGACUGAGACACGGCCCAGACUCCUACGGGAGACAGCAGUGGGGAAUAUUGGACAAUGGGCGCAAGCCUGAUCCAGCCAUGCCGCGUGAGUGAUGAAGGCCUUAGGGUUGUAAAGCUCUUUCAGCAGGGAAGAUAAUGACGGUACCUGCAGAAGAAGCCCCGGCUAACUCCG